UGAUUCCUUUAAUUGUGCUUAUGUUUUGCCUUUAUGUCCUGGAGCCAAUUAUUAUAACAAAAGAAUAAAUGCUUUUUUUUCAAGCUUUAUUGCACUAUCAUUGAUAUGUAACGGUGUAUAAGUUUCAGGUGCACAGCGUGAUGAUUUGAUAUAUUUAUAUAUUGCAAAAUAUGCAAGUCUCCUCAGUAGAGGACAUGGAAGAUUAUCACAGUGGGGCUGGCUGACCCCUCCACCACCUUACAAAUGACCAUUUCUUCUCUGUGGUGAGAACACUUAAGAUCUACUCUCUUAGCAGCUUUCAAGUGUGUCAUACAGUAUGGUUAAUGACAGUCGCCCUGCUGUACGUCGGAUCCCCAGAUCUUAUUCCUCUUGUAGCUGGAAGUCUGGGCUCGGUGACCAACAUCUCUCAAUUUUCCCCAACACUCAGCCCCUGGCAACCACCCUUCUAAUCUCUGUUUCUGUGAAUUCAGGAGGAAUCCUCUCUGACUGAGACGGGGGUCAGCCCUUUUUUGUUCUAUUCAGGCCUUCGACUGAUUAGAUGAGGCCCACCCACAUUCGGGAGGACAAUCUGCUCUACUCUGUCUACUGAUUCCCAUGUGAAGCUCAUCCAGAAACAGGCUCACAGACACAUCCAGCAUAAUGCUCACCAAACAUCUGGGCCCCCCAUGGCCCAGUCAAGUGGACACAUAAAAUUAACUCUCACUGGGAGAGAUGAAGAAGGGAAUUUAAACUGAUACAGAAUGUGGUCAUGCGCAAGCUGCUUCUUUGUACACCUGGGGCUCAAUCCGUCUGGUGGGCUCUGGUUGAUGGUCAUCUCAAAGGGUCCCACCCCAGUGGUGAGGAAACUGAGGUAUUCGUCUUCUGUCUCCCAUCUGACGUUGCCUGAAGGAUGCUCCUGGGGACUUUUAUUCCUAGCACUUCUUGCUUCCGCCAAGAACAAGCCCUCAGGUGCGGAGUCUUGGGUGCUGGCCCCGGGAUGUCUUCUGCUUGCAUGGGGAUGUCGAGAGCCUGACGGACACAGGUGGGUCAUUGCCCGUGUCUGCUAUGAUGGGCAAAUGGAAGGCUGUGAACAUGGAGCCGGCAGCAUCCACACGUCCUCCUCUGUGGAGAGAGAUGGAGAGCCUGGGAGGCUGGAAGGAGAGGUCCUGUCUUACCCAUUUUAUUGGGGGGGAAUUGAAAGUUUGGCGAGGUGGGGUGACUUGUCCCGAGGUGACACAACAGUUAGGCACCCAAACCAGAAUUGGAGUGGAGCACAUCUGACGCACAGUUUGCACUUCCGGAACAAGAUUUUGGAUCGGGGUAAAGCUGUCUUCGGAAAAACAACUGUUUUCCAGGCAUUUAUAGCCCACUUUAGCAGCACUCAACUGCCUGCCUCUGUUUGGGAUGCUAAUUUCGGAGACGCCUUCUCUCUUAAAUAAUCCAAGGGACCACCUCUCCCCCUGCUUCUUCUCGCCGAUGUCCAGCGGGAAGGCGCCAGGGGAGCCACCUAUGGUUUCUCUCUUGGGUGUCGGAGCCCACCGUGGGCAGAUGGAGAGAGGGAAGAUCUGAGCCGGAGAGAGAAAUUUUUAAUUUCCUCCCGUUCUCU
ensembl:lncRNA